rnacentral:tRNA from 1 species
GCCGAAGUAGCCUAACUUGGUUAAGGCAAUGGUCCCGAAAACCAUGUCCGUAAGGACGUCCAGGUUCAAAUCCUGGCUUCGGCG